GCUGGCGUAGCUCAGUUGGUAGAGCAUCUGAUUUGUAAUCAGAGGGUCGGGGGUUCAAGUCCCUUCGCCAGCU
rnacentral:tRNA from 1 species